GAUGAACGCUGGCGGCGUGCCUAAUACAUGCAAGUCGAGCGAACAGACGAGGAGCUUGCUCCUCUGACGUUAGCGGCGGACGGGUGAGUAACACGUGGAUAACCUACCUAUAAGACUGGGAUAACUUCGGGAAACCGGAGCUAAUACCGGAUAAUAUAUUGAACCGCAUGGUUCAAUAGUGAAAGACGGUUUUGCUGUCACUUAUAGAUGGAUCCGCGCCGCAUUAGCUAGUUGGUAAGGUAACGGCUUACCAAGGCGACGAUGCGUAGCCGACCUGAGAGGGUGAUCGGCCACACUGGAACUGAGACACGGUCCAGACUCCUACGGGAGGCAGCAGGAGGGAAUCUUCCGCAAGGGGCGAAAGCCUGACGGAGCAACGCCGCGUGAGUGAUGAAGGUCUUCGGAUCGUAAAACUCUGUUAUUAGGGAAGAACAAAUGUGUAAGUAACUAUGCACGUCUUGACGGUACCUAAUCAGAAAGCCACGGCUAACUACGU
rnacentral:rRNA from 1 species